ensembl:misc_RNA Metazoa_SRP Metazoan signal recognition particle RNA
GCUGGGCAUGGUGUGUGUGCCUGUAGUCCCAACUACUCAGGAGACUGAGGUGGGAAAAUCGCUUGAGCCCAGGAGUUCUGGGCUGUAGUGCGCUAUGCUGAUCAGGUGUCCGCACUAAGAUCAGCAUCAACUCAGUGACCUCCAAGGAGCAGGGGAGCACCAGGUUGCCUAAGGAGGAGUGAACCGGCCCAGGUUGGAAACAGAGCAGGUCAAAACUCCCGUGCUGAUCAGUAAUGGGAUCGUGCCUGUGAAUAGCCACUGCACUCUAGCCUGGGCAACAUAGCGAGACCCUGUCUCU